rnacentral:rRNA from 1 species
CUCAAUUUUCGCAGGUAUGAUUAUUCUGGUUAUGGACGGUCAUCAGGCAAGGCAAGCGAAGCUAAUACAUUUGCUGACAUAGAGUCUGCAUAUAAAUGCCUUGUGGAGGUUUAUGGGACUAGGGAAGAAGACAUUGUUCUUUAUGGUCAAUCUGUCGGUAGUGGCCCCACUGUUGAUUUAGCUGCUCACUUGCAUCACAUAAGAGCAGUUGUUCUGCAUAGUCCCAUACUUUCUGGCCUACGUGUCAUGUAUUCUGUGAAGAAAACAUACUGGUUUGACAUAUAUAAGAACAUCGAGAAAAUUCCCCUUGUUAAAUGCCCUGUUCUGGUGAUUCAUGGUACAAGUGACGAUGUUGUUGAUUUUUCCCAUGGAAAGCGGAUAUGGGAGCUGGGCCAACAGAAGUAUGAGCCUCUGUGGAUCGAGGGAGGCGACCACUGUAACUUGGAGACCUUCCCAGUGUACAUAAGGCAUCUGAAGAAGUUUCUGUCAGCUGUAGAGAAGUUGCCUGCUGGAAAAGAAGCAGCACCUGAGAGUGAGAAGUUGCUAGCUGGAAAUGAAAAACCUUCAGAUAGCGCCGCUCUUUCUGAGGCGCAUUUGAUGACCUCGCAGAGGUUAGAGCCAUCGAGGAAGAGCUCAAGGCAUGAGCAGCCUCCUAGGCUGAGCACUGAAUGUGUAGAUAAACACCGUCGAAGUACAGACGUCAGGGAAAAGGCAAGGUCCAUCACACAUGAGAGAUCAAGGAGAAGUGUCGAUACAUUUGACAGGACAAGAGAUGAAAAUGAACGGACAGACAAACCAAGGAAAAGCAUUGACAGGCUUGGCGAGAUGAUUAGAUCAAUGGGCCUCUGCAAUGUUGAUUGCUUCAAAGAGCCUUCUCGAAAAACCGAGGCUUGCUGA